rnacentral:rRNA from 1 species
GUCGAACGGUAACAGGUCUUCGGAUGCUGACGAGUGGCGAACGGGUGAGUAAUACAUCGGAACGUGCCCAAUCGUGGGGGAUAACGAAACGAAAGCUUUGCUGAUACCGCAUACCAUCUACUGAUGAAAGCAGGGGACCGCAAGGCCUUGCGCGAACGGAUCGGCCGAUGGCAGAUUACGUAGUUGGUGGGAUAAAAGCUUACCAAGCCGACGAUCUGUAGCUGGUCUGAGAGGACGACCAGCCACACUGGGACUGAGACACGGCCCAGACUCCUACGGGAGGCAGCAGUGGGGAAUUUUGGACAAUGGGCGAAAGCCUGAUCCAGCCAUGCCGCGUGCAGGAUGAAGGCCUUCGGGUUGUAAACUGCUUUUGUACGGAACGAAAAGACUCUGGUUAAUACCUGAGGUCCAUGACGGUACCGUAAGAAUAAGCACCGGCUAACUACGUGCCGGCAGCCGCGGUAAUACGUAGGGUGCAAGCGUUAAUCGGAAUUACUGGGCGUAAAGCGUGCGCAGGCGGUUAUAUAAGACAGAUGUGAAAUCCCCGGGCUCAACCUGAGAACUGCAUUUGUGACUGUAUAGCUAGAGUACGGCAGAGGGGGAUGGAAUUCCGCGUGUACACUGAAAUGCGUAGAUAUGCGGAGGAACACCGAUGGCGAAGGCAAUCCCCUGGGCCUGUACUGACGCUCAUGCANGAANGNGUNGNGAGCAANCAUGAUNAGAUACNCNNGUNGUCCACGCCNUAANCGAUGUCAAUUGGUUGUUGAGUCUUCAGUGACUCAGUAAAGAAGAUAACGUGUGAAGUUGACCGCGUGGGGAGUACGACUGCAAGGUUGAAACUCAAAGGAGUUGACGGGGACCCGCACAAGCGGUGGAUGAUGUGGUUUAAUUCGAUGCAACGCGAAAAACCUUACCCACUCUUGACAUGUACGGAAUCCUUUAGAGAUAGAGGAGUGCUCGAAAGAGAGCCGUAACACAGGUGCUGCAUGGCUGUCGUCAGCUCGUGUCGUGAGAUGUUGGGUUAAGUCCCGCAACGAGCGCAACCCUUGCCAUUAGUUGCUACGAAAGGGCACUUUAAUGGGACUGCCGGUGACAAACCGGAGGAAGGUGGGGAUGACGUCAAGUCCUCAUGGCCCUUAUAGGUGGGGCUACACACGUCAUACAAUGGGUGGUACAGAGGGUUGCCAACCCGCGAGGGGGAGCUAAUCCCAUAAAGCCAGUCGUAGUCCGGAUUGCAGUCUGCAACUCGAGUGCGUGAAGUCGGAAUCGCUAGUAAUCGCAGAUCAGAAUGUCGCGGUGAAUACGUUCCCGGGUCUUGUACACACCGCCCGUCACACCAUGGGAGCGGGUUAUGCCAGAAGUAGGUAGCCUAACCGUAAGGAGGGCGCUUACCACGGCAGGGUUCGUGACUGGGGUGAAGUCGUA